GGUGUGUGCUACGAUCGAACAGGAGAAAAGAAAAAGGGGGUGUGAACCCUAAACCUCAAGAAAUCAUCAAAUUGAAAAGGGAAUCAGGGCUGAUUGUAUGCAUGAACCAAGGAUGAUGAUCCCUUAAGCAUUUCUAACAUCAAGAGCCAUGUCAACAUGGACACGAGCAUGGAAGGGCAAUGGGUCAACGGUAAAUACGGAAGCUAUGCAUGAACUCGGACGCACGAGGUAGCGUUAGUUAAUUGAGCAUGGUGAUGAUUGAAGUUUGAUAUGGUUUUGGUUGUAUGAAAUCGGUAAUUUUAGCUAAGUAGACCGAACGGGACAAUAUAAAGUUGUAAUGAUAUGACAGAUUGAUGUAAUGCUACGGUAUUGUAACCGGGUAAUGGGUAGAAUUGCACAUAAGUGCGCCAACCGAGAAUGGGGACUUAGGUUAAUGGUCAAAAGACUUAGCUUUUGACCUUAAAUAAAAGAAUGGUUUAACAAAAUACGAACAGGUCGAAUAAAUGUGCAUAAACUUCAUAAUGCUAAUGAAAUGCGUAAAGAUUAAGGACCCGGGUAAGGGCGUUUAGCCCAUAAUGUAAGGACAAGUCUUACGGACAACUAGAAAUAAUCGUGAGCAAUUUGAUUGAGGAAUGUCUGAGAUACGCAAGUUUUAAUAAUAAAAAUAUGAAUGGGUUGAAUAGUCGAAACGAGUAUGUAGAGCCGAAGGCUUUAAGUUAAGAUUUUUCCUUGUUUGGAUGUUAUAUUACAAGCUCAUAUGUUAGAAAAUCGAUUUACCAACGCAUAGGAAAAAGAAUCAUGUUAAUCGGAUUCGUAGAUCAAAAGUUAUGCAAAUUGUAAGUCGAAAAUACCCUUGGAAUUCAUAGCUGGGAAUUUACAGCAGCAAAUUGGAAGUUUCUGUCGAAAUAGAGCUGUCGCGCCCCGCGAGCGCCAGUCAGCUGGCAAAUUUUGGUUUUCUUGUUUGAUUUUGCAUCCGGACUCGAUGUUUUAAUGAUUUUCGGUGUCCCUUAACUUAUAUUAAAGCCGGUUUGAAUCACGAGUGAUGUUAUGAGCCUCCGGAUAAUGAAAGUAUGUAUUUUUCUUCGUGUUAGAGAAGAAAGAUUAUAAGUAAUCGAGACUAGAAAUGAGUGGGCAUGCAGUAUGGUAAGUAUAAAACUUAUAUCAUGGAAGUUGCGAUUAUAAUAAGAAAUGCGAGAUUAAGUGAAUAAAAGUAGUAAGCGAGGGCUCGCGUCUAUGUGUGUGUAUGUGAAUGUGUGCGUAUGUAUGUAGGUGUAUAUGUUGUAUGUAUGUAGGAAUUAGGAACGUAUACGUUUGUGGAUGCGAGAUGUUAUAAGUAUAUGAAGGAAUGGUUUGGACUGGUUUCAUUAUGUUCUAGCAUUAAUGUUUGCUAAUCGUGUGUUUGAGAUUGGAAUGAAAUGCAGGUACAUGAACACCGGGUUCAUGAAGUAUCGAAGUCGAAUUCGGAACAAGAAAAUACGAAAGGAUAGUUGAAUGAAUUAAAGUUCCUACUGUUAAAUUUUAUUCAAUAUUGGACUAUAUGAGAAUCAUGUCGUAUGAUAUUGUUAAUGACUAAUGGUUAUGAUGUAUGCGAUGUCCACAGGUAUUGCACGGAUUACCGCUACUACUACCGAAGAUAAGCAAGCGUUGAUCAAGUCACGGAGCAAGGGUUGUACGGAAAUAUGUAUUGUCUUGAAGCGUUAAUUUAAUGUGGUUAUUGUAAAUCCCUUUUGUAAAUGUUUAUCAUUUGUAUUUGAGCCUUCAAGUAAGUAAUGUGUCUA
rnacentral:lncRNA from 1 species